ACGGAAGGCAGCAGUGGGGAAUAUUGGGCAAUGGGCGAAAGCCUGACCCAGCAACGCCGCGUGAAGGAAGAAGGUUUUCGGAUUGUAAACUUCUUUUAUCAGGGACGAAGAAAGUGACGGUACCUGAUGAAUAAGCCACGGCUAACUACGUGCCAGCAGCCGCGGUAAUAAGUAGGUGGAAAGCGUUAUCCGGAUUUACUGGGUGUAAAGGGCGCGUAGGCGGGGAUGCAAGUCAGGUGUGAAAUCUAUGGGCUUAACCCAUAAACUGCAUUUGAAACUGUAUCUCUUGAGUGUCGGAGAGGUAGACGGAAUUCCUAGUGUAGCGGUGAAAUGCGUAGAUAUUAGGAGGAACACCAGUGGCGAAGGCGGUCUACUGGACGAUAACUGACGCUGAGGCGCGAAAGCGUGGGGAGCAAACAGGAUUAGAUACCCUGGUA
rnacentral:rRNA from 1 species